rnacentral:rRNA from 1 species
GGAGUUUGGGCCGUGUCUCAGUCCCAAUGUGGCCGGUCACCCUCUCAGGUCGGCUAUGGAUCGUCGGUUUGGUGGGCCGUUACCCCGCCAACUGCCUAAUCCAACGCGGGUCCAUCUCACACCACCGGAGUUUUUCACACUCUGCCAUGCGGCACUGUGCGCUUAUGCGGUAUUAGCAGUCGUUUCCAACUGUUGUCCCCCAGUGUGAGGCAGGUUACCCACGCGUUACUCACCCGUCCGCCACUAAGUCAUAAACCAAAUCAUUCCGAAAAAAUCAUUAGUAAAUGCUUCGUUCGACUUGCAUGUGUUAAGCACGCCGCCAGCGUUCAUC